rnacentral:rRNA from 1 species
GAUGAACGCUGGCGGCGUGCCUAAUACAUGCAAGUCGAGCGAACAGACGAGGAGCUUGCUCCUCUGACGUUAGCGGCGGACGGGUGAGUAACACGUGGAUAACCUACCUAUAAGACUGGGAUAACUUCGGGAAACCGGAGCUAAUACCGGAUAAUAUAUUGAACCGCAUGGUUCAAUAGUGAAAGACGGUUUUGCUGUCACUUAUAGAUGGAUCCGCGCCGCAUUAGCUAGUUGGUAAGGUAACGGCUUACCAAGGCGACGAUGCGUAGCCGACCUGAGAGGGUAAUCGGCCCCACUGGAACUGAGACACGGUCCAGACUCCUACGGGAGGCAGCAGUAGGGAAUCUUCCGCAAUGGGCGAAAGCCUGACGGAGCAACGCCGCGUGAGUGAUGAAGGUCUUCGGAUCGUAAAACUCUGUUAUUAGGGAAGAACAAAUGUGUAAGUAACUAUGCACGUCUUGACGGUACCUAAUCAGAAAGCCACGGCUAACUACGUG